UACGGGGGGAGCAAGCGUUGUUCGGAAUUACUGGGCGUAAAGGGCUCGUAGGCGGCCAACUAAGUCCGACGUGAAAUCCCAAGGCUUAACCUUGGAACUGCGUCGGAUACUGGAUGGCUUGAAUUCGGGAGAGGGAUGCAGAAUUCCAGGUGUAGCGGUGAAAUGCGUAGAUAUCUGGAGGAAUACCGGUGGCGAAGGCGGCAUCCUGGACCGACAUUGACGCUGAUGAGCGAAAGCUAGGGGAGCAAACGGG
rnacentral:rRNA from 1 species